AAAUUGGAGAGUCUUGGAGCUGCUAAAACAUCGCUGGCUGCCACGAUAGUAUCGGUCGCUAGGUGCCAGCCGGUGCCAGCGAUGGACACACAACUAAAUAUCGAAACUCCUUUUUAUUAACCCUAUAAUGCCUGAAACCAAAUGUGUACAUGUCAAAAGCUAAAUAUGUUGGCCCAUCUUAGACAAAAAAGAAACCAUAAAUAACCCUCUGGAUAGGUAACGUGAAUUCCACCAAAAAUAUAAUUGUUAGAUCUUCUUGCUAGUUUAUGU
ensembl:ncRNA lncRNA:CR45463 long non-coding RNA:CR45463